GGACCAACCUCUAUAAGGGUCAUUUUUUCUAGGCCUCCUCGGUCUACUUUAUCGAUUUCAUUGUGAGGAACAGAAAUCUGGUAAUUCCGAAACCAAAUGUGAUCAUCAACUAUGGAAAAGACAAAGACAUGAUCGUGGAAUGGUUUAGCUUUUCUGUGAUCCUUUGGUGUUUCAAAUAUCUGCAGUAUUAUCUCCUUCAAAAGCUUCCAGUACGGUUGGCUGUCAAAGUUCGAUGAAAAUGUUAUAAUAGGCCGCGACCCUUUCAGAUGAUUCCCAGUAAGCUUC
rnacentral:misc_RNA from 1 species